rnacentral:rRNA from 1 species
AUUGAACGCUGGCGGUAUGCUUAGCACAUGCAAGUCGAACGGCAGCACAGUAUGUAGCAAUACAUAUGGGUGGCGAGUGGCGGACGGGUGAGUAACGCGUAGGAAUCUACCCUAAAGCGGGGGACAACCCGAGGAAACUCGGGCUAAUACCGCAUAAUCUCGAAAGAGUAAAGCUGGGGCAACCUGACACUUUAGGAGGAGCCUGCGUCCGAUUAGCUAGUUGGUGAGGUAAAGGCUCACCAAGGCGAUGAUCGGUAGCUGGUCUGAGAGGAUGAUCAGCCACACUGGGACUGAGACACGGCCCAGACUCCUACGGGAGGCAGCAGUGGGGAAUAUUGGACAAUGGAGGCAACCCUGAUCCAGCAAUACCGCGUGUGUGAAGAAGGCCUUAGGGUUGUAAAGCACUUUAGUUGGGGAAGAAGGAUAGUUGUUUAAGAGAUGAUUAUUUUGACGGUACCCAAAGAAUAAGCACCGGCUAACUCUGUGCCAGCCGCCGCCGUAA